rnacentral:rRNA from 1 species
UACGUAGGGUGCGAGCGUUGUCCGGAAUUAUUGGGCGUAAAGAGCUCGUGGGCGGUUUGUUGCGUCUAUCGUGAAAACCUGCAGCUUAACUGUGGGCUUGCGGUGGAUACGGGCAGACUUGAGUUCGGUAGGGGAGACUGGAAUUCCUGGUGUAGCGGUGAAAUGCGCAGAUAUCAGGAGGAACACCGGUGGCGAAGGCGGGUCUCUGGGCCGAUACUGACGCUGAGGAGCGAAAGCGUGGGGAGCGAACAGG